AGAGUUUGAUUAUGGCUCAGGAUGAACGCUAGCGACAGGCUUAACACAUGCAAGUCGAGGGGCAGCGGGGGCGAAGCUUGCUUCGCCUGCCGGCGACCGGCGCACGGGUGAGUAACACGUAUGCAACCUACCCCCGGCAGGGGAAUAACCCGGAGAAAUCCGGACUAAUACCACACGGCACUUUCGGGAGGCAUCUUCUGAGAGUUAAAGGAGCGAUCCGGCCGGGGAUGGGCAUGCGGCGCAUUAGCUAGUCGGCGGGGUAACGGCCCACCGAGGCGACGAUGCGUAGGGGUUCUGAGAGGAAGGUCCCCCACACUGGUACUGAGACACGGACCAGACUCCUACGGGAGGCAGCAGUGAGGAAUAUUGGUCAAUGGGCGAGAGCCUGAACCAGCCAAGUCGCGUGAGGGAUGACGGUCCUAUGGAUUGUAAACCUCUUUUGUCGGGGAACAAAGGCGCCCACGAGUGGGCUGAUGAGUGUACCCGAAGAAAAAGCAUCGGCUAACUCCGUGCCAGCAGCCGCGGUAAUACGGAGGAUGCGAGCGUUAUCCGGAUUUAUUGGGUUUAAAGGGUGCGUANGCGGACAGUCAAGUCAGCGGUAAAAAUGCGGUGCUCAACGCCGUACAGCCGUUGAAACUGGCAGUCU
rnacentral:rRNA from 1 species